ensembl:snoRNA SNORA74 Small nucleolar RNA SNORA74
CUCAGCUGUAGGCAACUGCCUAGGCUGCAUUAUACCUAGGCAAGUGUUAUACUUCUGGGAGAAAAGCCGCUAAUAACUGGCAGGCAUCAAGGGCCUGGUUAAUGCCAAAUUUGUGUUAACUAU